UCUUUUCUCCUUUGCCUCCUUCCAAGGUGUGUCCACAGCCAGCGUUUCUUUAUGCUUUUCCCUCAGUCUGAGACCUAGGAACAGGAGAGGCCAGUGCUGUGAAUUUCAUGUUUCAUGGCCUCCCCAGCAAGCCAGCCCACGAAAUUCCACACAGGGAGGAGGAAGAGGAGGAGGAGGAGGAGCUGCCACUGUCCCCGAGGGGAGCAGCUGACACUCUCCCCUUGACUGCACCAGGCCUUGGGGGUAUGGGGCCUCCACGGGCGUGGGCUGGGGGAGGAUAGGCUCCUAAUUAGUUUGGAUGCGCUUGGAGUCAGGGCACCUUUUCCCCAGUGGGCAGUUCUGCACCCUGAACAGCCGUGGGGAGAAGGGCAGCGGGAGGACGGCCAGAUAAUUCCAGAAGAAAGGCUCCAGGAGUGGCAGCAGAACUGCUGUUAUUUUCAGAGGAGUCUAAUUACUUUCCCCAGGCACACGUUCUGGCAGUUCCGCCAUGAGAACCCCCAGACCCGGGUUGGGGGCCCGCCCCCCGAGGGGCUGCCGG
rnacentral:sRNA from 1 species